GUUCUACUACGCGAUUAGGUGGCCGGUAACAGCGCUAUGGCCAUCAUUUUUCUUUUUUUCAUUGCGUAAUAAGACCCCUGAAGAACCGCCAUACAAAUGACCCUCUAUUUUGUGUCACUAUCUCCCGGUUUAUAAGCUUCAUAUCGCAGAACCUAACCAUACCACCUCGUAUUUUAUAUCAGAAAUCUCUUGGACAAAAAUGCCGAGCAUAUAAAGGUUGGCUGUAAAGUUCGUAGGCUAACAUAGAAAUAAUGUUUUUAAUUUGAUAAUUCAAUAAACAUGCUUCGAGAGCGGUAACGAUUAUAGCGGUAAAAAAUGUUCAGGCUCAAAACAGGCUUCAUUCUAAGCCUCUUCAUUAAUGCUCACUUGACAAACGAGGCAGUUCGAUAUUUUUAACAAACCCAGAUUUCAAACGAAAACCGUUUGUAAAUAUGACGAUCUUUGCAGUCACAAACCGUAAGUAAUAUUUCUCUUUAAAGUACCGAAAAUAAUUGAAUAUUUAAUUUAAUUUAUUUUUAUGGUUGAUGGUCAUACUCGAUUUCCUAUGCAUAAUCAUAAUAUUAAUAAUGAAACUUCCAACCACGCACAUUAUUCAUUGAGAAUUGAAGUACGCAAGAAUGAAAAACUUAAUUGUGUUGGCCCUCGUUAUGGCUCUUACGGUGGUUACCGUGGUCUAUGGGCAAUGUCCUCACUGUCAGCCGAAGAAUGAGAUGCCAGUACCCUAAAUAAACACACAAAAUAAAGCCGCUUCCUUACAUGUGAA